rnacentral:rRNA from 1 species
GACGAACGCUGGCGGCGUGCUUAACACAUGCAAGUCGAACGGAAAGGCCCUGCUUUUGUGGGGUGCUCGAGUGGCGAACGGGUGAGUAACACGUGAGUAACCUGCCCUUGACUUUGGGAUAACUUCAGGAAACUGGGGCUAAUACCGGAUAGGAGCUCCUGCUGCAUGGUGGGGGUUGGAAAGUUUCGGCGGUUGGGGAUGGACUCGCGGCUUAUCAGCUUGUUGGUGGGGUAGUGGCUUACCAAGGCUUUGACGGGUAGCCGGCCUGGGAGGGUGACCGGCCACAUUGGGACUGAGAUACGGCCAAGACUCCUACGGGGGGAAGCAGGGGGGAAUAUUGAACAAGGGGCGGAAGCCUGAUGCAGCAACGCCGCGUGCGGGAUGACGGCCUUCGGGUUGUAAACCGCUUUCGCCUGUGACGAAGCGUGAGUGACGGUAAUGGGUAAAGAAGCACCGGCUAACUACGUG